rnacentral:misc_RNA from 1 species
GAUGAAGAACGCAGCGAAAUGCGAUAAGUAAUGUGAAUUGCAGAAUUCAGUGAAUCAUCGAAUCUUUGAACGCACAUUGCGCCCGGGAGCAUUCUCCCGGGCAUGCCUGUUCGAGCGUCAUUUCAACCCUCGAUUUCCCUUUGGGGAAGUCGGUCGUUGGAGAUCGGCAGCACUGCCGGCUCCCAAAUACAGUGGCGACCCGCCGCGGGGACCCCUGCGUAGUAACUUACACUCGCACCGGAAACCAGACGUGUCACGCCGUAAAACCCCCAACUUUCUGAACGUUGACCUCGGAUCAGGUAGGAAUACCCGCUGAACUUAAGCAUAUCAAUAAGCGGAGGA